AGUGAACGCUGGCGGUAGGCCUAACACAUGCAAGUCGAACGGCAGCACAGUAAGAGCUUGCUCUUACGGGUGGCGAGUGGCGGACGGGUGGGGAAUACAUCGGAAUCUACUUUUUCGUGGGGGAUAACGUAGGGAAACUUACGCUAAUACCGCAUACGACCUACGGGUGAAAGCAGGGGAUCUUCGGACCUUGCGCGAUUGAAUGAGCCGAUGUCGGAUUAGCUAGUUGGCGGGGUAAAGGCCCACCAAGGCGACGAUCCGUAGCUGAUCUGAGAGGAUGAUCAGCCACACUGGAACUGAGACACGGUCCAGACUCCUACGGGAGGCAGCAGUGGGGAAUAUUGGACAAUGGGCGCAAGCCUGAUCCAGCCAUACCGCGUGGGUGAAGAAGGCCUUCGGGUCGUAAAGCCCUUUUGUUGGGAAAGAAAAGCAGCAGGUUAAUACCCCGCUGUUCUGACGGUACCCAAAGAAUAAGCACCGGCUAACUUCGUG
rnacentral:rRNA from 1 species